AUUGAACGCUGGCGGCAGGCUUAACACAUGCAAGUCGAGCGGGGGAAGGUAGCUUGCUACCGGACCUAGCGGCGGACGGGUGAGUAAUGCUUAGGAACCUGCCUAUUAGUGGGGGACAACAUCUCGAAAGGGAUGCUAAUACCGCAUACGUCCUACGGGAGAAAGCAGGGGAUCUUCGGACCUUGCGCUAAUAGAUGAGCCUAAGUCGGAUUAGCCAGUUGGUGGGGUAAAGGCCUACCAAGGCGACGAUCUGUAGCGGGUCUGAGAGGAUGAUCCGCCACACUGGGACUGAGACACGGCCCAGACUCAUACGGGAGGCAGCAGUGGGGAAUAUUGGACAAUGGGUGGAACCCUGAUCCAGCCAUGCCGCGUGUGUGAAGAAGGCCUUAUGGUUGUAAAGCACUUUAAGCGAGGAGGAGGCUACUCUAGUUAAUACCUAGGGAUAGUGGACGUUACUCGCAGAAUAAGCACCGGCUAACGCUGUGCCAGCCGCCGCCGUAA
rnacentral:rRNA from 1 species